UUAUGUUGCUAUAUGUUCGAAGAAAGGUAUUGAUUCUAAGAGCACACAUCUUCAGUUUUGGAUAGAGGCAUUGAGAGGUGUUAAGAAGAACACGAUUCUUGGACAUCCGCGGCUCCGUGCCUCUCAUAUUUAUGGGCAAGGCUAUCGACACUGGGGAUGAAGCUGACGUUGAUAAAGCCGGAAGUGGUAAUGAAAGCACGGACUCCGAAGUCCAUGAUAUGAGUCAUCCUUGUGUUGUUGUCUCUAGGGGAGGUCCGGUUAUUAAGGGUUGAUGUUAAGUUGUGUGAAUGUAAUUGAAUUUGUUGGGAUGUUUUUGGAUGUUUUACUCUUUUGUUUGUGUAUGACUAUGUGUUUGGGAUGUUUUGGUUAAUGAAAACUAUGGUAUUGUGGAUUGAUUA